AUUAGGGUUUCAAAUGAAUGAGAUUUU
rnacentral:piRNA from 1 species